CCUCGGGUGGCAGCAGUGGGGAAUAUUGGACAAUGGGGGCAACCCUGAUCCAGCCAUGCCGCGUGUGUGAAGAAGGCCCUCGGGUUGUAAAGCACUUUCAGUGAGGAAGAACGCCUGGUGGUUAAUACCCAUCAGGAAAGACAUCACUCACAGAAGAAGCACCGGCUAACUCCGUGCCAGCAGCCGCGGUAAUACGGAGGGUGCGAGCGUUAAUCGGAAUUACUGGGCGUAAAGCGCGCGUAGGUGGCUUGAUAAGCCGGUUGUGAAAGCCCCGGGCUCAACCUGGGAACGGCAUCCGGAACUGUCAAGCUAGAGUGCAGGAGAGGAAGGUAGAAUUCCCGGUGUAGCGGUGAAAUGCGUAGAGAUCGGGAGGAAUACCAGUGGCGAAGGCGGCCUUCUGGACUGACACUGACACUGAGGUGCGAAAGCGUGGGUAGCAAACAGGAUUAGAUACCCUAGUAGUC
rnacentral:rRNA from 1 species